rnacentral:rRNA from 1 species
UACGUAGGGUGCAAGCGUUGUCCGGAUUUAUUGGGCGUAAAGAGCUCGUAGGCGGCUUGUCGCGUCGACUGUGAAAUCCCGAGGCUCAACUUCGGGCUUGCAGUCGAUACGGGCAGGCUAGAGUUCGGUAGGGGAGACUGGAAUUCCUGGUGUAGCGGUGAAAUGCGCAGAUAUCAGGAGGAACACCGAUGGCGAAGGCAGGUCUCUGGGCAGUAACUGACGCUGAGGAGCGAAAGCGUGGGGAGCGAACAGG